AAAAUAAAAUCAGAACAAAAUGUAUACAUGUUACAAAAUGGCAAAAGAUAAAUAAUAUGAAAACAUCAUAUUACGGGAAAAUGCAAUUACUACAGAUAAAGAACAAGAAGUCCUUGGGGACAUUUAUGUGGCCAUGCUCUGUUUAGACUGUUCAUAUCCAGGAGCAGGGCUAUGAGAAGGAAGUUGACUAUAAGAGCCCUCAUGGUAACAUCCGAGGGGACAAAAAUGUCCUGUGUUAUAAUUGGGGGAGUGGUUACCUGAGUCUAUGCUUUUGUGAAAAUUCUUCAAAUUAAUGAAUUUUAUUGUAUGUAAAUGAUACCUUAAAAAGUUGAUUUUUUUUUUUUUUUUGAAAGAAAGGGAGGUGGGAGGGAAGAUGGAAGGACAGACAAAUCAAGUCAAGAAACGAAUUGUGCCUCUCAGGGUAAUGUAAAUCUUUGAAGAAAAAGUAGAGCAAUGGCAGCGCUGACCUCUGCAUUUCUGCCACAUCAGACUAUACUGCAUGUCCCAACACAAUGGCGCUGGUGGAAUGUUCUAAGAAGGCAAGAAAUGUCUUCUAUUCCUGGCUUGCACCCUCCCUGAAAGCUCCUUCUCCCCACUGAGUGUGAAGGCAGAAAUAAACAGACUAAUCCAGAGAGAAGAGAGAGCCCUUCCUCUAGCCAACCUAGAAUGCGGGUGACUGGGGAGUGGGUCACCCCCAAUUCCUUUCCAAGGGGCACAUGGCAAAUCAGUACCAACCAGGCUGGUGAUAAAGCCCCCAGGCUGGUGGAUCUGUGCCCUGAAGUCCUGCAAAGAUGAACCUGGAUAAGAAAAAGUAGGGCAGCAUUUAAAAGUGAAAUCACUGGUCUUUAUCAGUCACAGGGAGGCCGAGGCCAAAUCCGAGGGACCAGUGUGCACCACAGAGUUGGAAAGGCCUCUUCUGCUAAAAGGCACCAGGCCAACUUCAGCCAAAGCUGCGGACCUCCCAGAAAGGGCUCUGAGGCCCUGCCUAGAGGGAACAAAGCCGCAAAAGUAAAGCACAGGGCUGGUGCCUUGUUUCCAGGGAACAACAGGAUGAGGUGGUUCCAGUGGGGGUUUCUUUUGCUUCCUGAACCUGUUUUCCCUUCUGCUGCGCCCCAAAUCUGAGUAGCAGCCAGCCCCAUGCCCGCGAUCCCCUUCCCGCUCCAGCCUCCUCCCAUCACCCCACUGUCCCAAUGUGUCUGGUGCUCCUAUCGGGUCCUGCUCCGUGGGGCAUGGCCUUGUUGUCCUAAUACUUGGGCAUAAACUUCGUAAGGCUCCACCCACGUGAUAUGGUCUCGACCAAUCAAAGAAACACACUCGGCCUCCGAGAUUUCUUUCAUUGUCUGAAUUUCUAAGCACUGAGACCACACCUUUCUCUUCCACUUUCUUUAGGAGCUUGGUAGUUGACUUCCUGGGGCUGGGAAGGCCCUGGCCUGAGUUCCCAGACUUCAGCUCCCCUCUGGGCCUCUGACCUCCGAGGUAGCUCUCCCACCCCCUGCUUUCACGUGCCCGGUCUGCCCAGUGUGACCGGGCUGUGCCAGCGGGCAUAGGUCUGCCUCUGACUAAAUGUGCUUCAAGUUAAAGGCACUGUUUUAUUUACUGGGAUGCCUGGUUCCCCAAGGCUUGUAACCUCAUCUUCCUUUCUAACGACCCCAGGACCUGGCCCAGACCUGGCCGCAUCAAUACCGACUGCUGAUUGAGGAUGAUGUGAUGAUUUGGAACCCGGAAAAGCAGAGGGGGCUGGGCCCGGUGGCACUGACCGUUUGCAGCAGAUCAUUUGCCCACUCUAGGGGAACUCAUUCCUGGUUUUGGCCAAAUGGUGCUGCUCACUCUUCAUAGAUGUUCCAUCACUUCUUGGAAGACUGCAUUUCCUAACCUCCCUGGCAGAGGAAUGCACUUGAGAAUAGAAAAUGGGCUGCAGGAACCACAGCCUUGUGGACAUCUGAGGAAUGCUCCCUUCUGGCCUGCUUGACUCUUGAGCCUGGGUUUGGGUUUUGUAAGUGCAGCUGGAACAUGGUGUUAGGCAUUAGCUGCUUCAUGCUGGGCUCCAGCUGUCAGUUGGGGCCCCAUGGGGUGUGGAGGGAGCUACAUGGACAUGUGGUGCAGAGCCCACAGGGUGAGUGGUGCUGAUUUUGAUCAUUUGCCUCGUGCAGCUAUGCUGCCUGCGUUACAAAGCUGAGGGUGAACAUGGGUGGUAGCUGGGAAAUGAUGGGCUUUAUCUAUAAGAGAGAGUAGAUGAAGAAAACAACUCAGCAGUAAAAUCCACACUCCUAACCAGGGCACUCUGCCCACUCCCUCUGUGUUCAAACAAAUCACCUGCCAGACUUCCCGCUCAACCUGUCUUGGGCACGCUGAUCUGCUUGCUGUUUUCCCAACAUAUCCAACUUGGAUCUGCCACAGGACCUUUGCACUUUCUAUUCUCCCUGAAACACUCUUCCAUGGGACCUUCAUGGAGUAAAUUUCCCAACUCUAAAGAGGCACCUUCUCCAAUUACUGCUUUCCUCCGAGGCUAUCCUCUGAAUAUGAUAAGCUUACUCAAAGUGGC